CCUACGGGUGGCAGCAGUGAGGAAUAUUGGUCAAUGGACGAGAGUCUGAACCAGCCAAGUAGCGUGAAGGAUGACUGCCCUAUGGGUUGUAAACUUCUUUUAUAAAGGAAUAAAACGCGGCACGUGUGCCUUUUUGCAUGUACUUUAUGAAUAAGGAUCGGCUAACUCCGUGCCAGCAGCCGCGGUAAUACGGAGGAUGCGAGCGUUAUCCGGAUUUAUUGGGUUUAAAGGGAGCGUAGAUGGGUUGUUAAGUCAGUUGUGAAAGUUUGCGGCUCAACCGUAAAAUUGCAAUUGAUACUGGCAGUCUUGAGUACACUUGAGGUAGGCGGAAUUCGUGGUGUAGCGGUGAAAUGCUUAGAUAUCACGAAGAACCCCGAUUGCGAAGACAGCUUACUAACCUGUGACUGACAUUGAUGCUCGAAAGUGUGGGGAUCAAACAGGAUUAGAUACCCUGGUAGUC
rnacentral:rRNA from 1 species